UGGGGAAUCUUGCGCAAUGGGCGAAAGCCUGACGCAGCCAUGCCGCGUGAAUGAUGAAGGUCUUAGGAUUGUAAAAUUCUUUCACCGGGGACGAUAAUGACGGUACCCGGAGAAGAAGCCCCGGCUAACUUCGUGCCAGCAGCCGCGGUAAUACGAAGGGGGCUAGCGUUGCUCGGAAUUACUGGGCGUAAAGGGAGCGUAGGCGGACAUUUAAGUCGGGGGUGAAAUCCCGGGGCUCAACCUCGGAAUUGCCUUUGAUACUGGGUGUCUUGAGUGUGAGAGAGGUAUGUGGAACUCCGAGUGUAGAGGUGAAAUUCGUAGAUAUUCGGAAGAACACCAGUGGCGAAGGCGACAUACUGGCUCAUUACUGACGCUGAGGCUCGAAAGCGUGGGGGAGCAAACAGGAUUAGAUACCCUGGUAGUCCACGCCCGUAAACGAUGAUUGCUAGUUGUCGGGAUUGCAUGCAUUUCGGUGACGCAGCUAACGCAUUAAGCAAUCCGCCUGGGGAGUACGGUCGCAGAUUAAAGCUCAAAGGAAUUGACGGGGUCAUAGCUGUUUCCU
rnacentral:rRNA from 1 species